UGCCUGCCCACCCCCAAAUGCCACAUGCUGCCCCUCUACUGCCAGCAAAUCUCUGCACCUAAGCAAGUUGUGCCAAGUCCCGCUUCUGGUACUGCCACCGGCCGACAGUCAAGCAGUUCCACAAUUCCAAGAUCAAGUUCCUGCUGCCCUACCAGGUCCUGUGUCUUCAGCACAAGCCACACUCCAACAUCAAGAGUCCCAACACCUUCU
rnacentral:lncRNA from 1 species